rnacentral:rRNA from 1 species
AUCAACAAUAAGCGGAGGAAAAGAAACCAACAGGGAUUGCCCUAGUAACGGCGAGUGAAGCGGCAACAGCUCAAAUUUGAAAUCUGGCUCUCGGGCCCGAGUUGUAAUUUGUAGAGGAUACUUUUGAUGCGGUGCCUUCCGAGUUCCCUGGAACGGGACGCCAUAGAGGGUGAGAGCCCCGUCUGGUUGGAUGCCAAAUCUCUGUAAAGUUCCUUCAACGAGUCGAGUAGUUUGGGAAUGCUGCUCUAAAUGGGAGGUAUAUGUCUUCUAAAGCUAAAUACCGGCCAGAGACCGAUAGCGCACAAGUAGAGUGAUCGAAAGAUGAAAAGCACUUUGAAAAGAGAGUUAAAAAGUACGUGAAAUUGUUGAAAGGGAAGCGUUUAUGACCAGACUUGGGCUUGGUUAAUCAUCUGGGGUUCUCCCCAGUGCACUUUUCCAGUCCAGGCCAGCAUCAGUUUUCCCCGGGGGAUAAAGGCGGCGGGAAUGUGGCUCUCUUCGGGGAGUGUUAUAGCCCGUCGUGUAAUACCCUGGGGGGGACUGAGGUUCGCGCAUCUGCAAGGAUGCUGGCGUAAUGGUCAUCAACGACCCGUCUUGAAACACGGACCAAGGAGUCGUCUUCGUAUGCGAGUGUUCGGGUGUCAAACCCCUACGCGUAAUGAAAGUGAACGCAGGUGAGAGCUUCGGCGCAUCAUCGACCGAUCCUGAUGUUCUCGGAUGGAUUUGAGUAAGAGCAUACGGGGCCGGACCCGAAAGAAGGUGAACUAUGCCUGUAUAGGGUGAAGCCAGAGGAAACUCUGGUGGAGGCUCGCAGCGGUUCUGACGUGCAAAUCGAUCGUCAAAUAUGGGCAUGGGGGCGAAAGACUAAUCGAACCUUCUAGUAGCUGGUUCCCGCCU